ACUUGUGCGGCUAUCCGUAAGUGUCAACAACGUUUCCUCUCACCGCACCUCCAAUGCGACUCGAUACACAGCCUCUCGCCGUCGCCACUCCAAUUCGAAGAAGCAACUCCUCGUCGCCACUCACCGUCAUCGCUCCGAUCAUCCUCUCGUGGCCGGCGCCUCUGUCUCAAUUUCAGGUAAGUGCAAAAUAACAAAGUUUUGAAGACCAGAACACCCAAAGAGCUGUUGAGAUUUGGAUUGUCAAGGGAGCUACAGAUCCAAAGACUACGGGAGAGAAAGAGUGAUUGAGCAAGAAGGAAUCAAAAAUGGUUAUGACCACUACUCCUCUGCUAAUCCGUUGCAGCAGAGCAGACUAUAUUCAUAUCCCAAAAUGUAUCCUUACAUCAGCAAAUACAAUCUAACCGUUGUGAAGGCUAAACCAAUGUGAAUAUGACACAUGGCUUUACAAAGCUUUACAGCCACUGAAAUAAGAAAAACAAUCCUAAGCCUUACACUUGGCAUAUGAGCUCAAGGUGCUCAGCUCACAGAUGACUUAAAUGGACUAAAUAUAAACUGACUAAGUACUUACUAACUAAUCAGAAAUUAGCUAGGCAGUUUACAUUUUAACACUCCCUUCUAAAGUGCUAGCUGAUUUGACUCCAAGCAUAUUCCUCAAGUAGCAGAACCUAUCUUUGGGAAGUGCCUUGGUGAAGAUGUCAGCAAUUUGCUCUUCUCCCUUGCAGUAGAGCAGUUCAAUCACUCCUUCUUGGAUUGCUUCUCUAAUAAAAUGGAACUUCCUCUUAAUGUGCUUGCUCCUUUGAUGAAACACAGGAUUUUUAGCCAUUGCUAUUGCUGAAGUGUUGUCACAGAACACAGUGGUUGCAGCAGUCUGUUCUUCUCCAAAGUCUUCAAGAACAAACCUGAGCCAAAUGGCUUGUGAUGUAGCUUCUGCAGCACUUACAUACUCUGCUUCUGCUGUUGAAAGGGCCACACUGUGUUGUUUGACUGAUGCCCACGAAAAUGCACCACUUCCAAAUGAAAAUGCAUAUCUGGAAGUGCUCUUCAUAUCUUCCUCUGAUCCACUCCAGUCACUAUCACAAUAUCCUACUAGAAGUGCAGACUUUCCAGUCACAUACUCAAUUCCAUAAUCAAUUGAGCCUUGUAUGUACCUUAGAACUCUUUUGGCUGCCCCAUAGUGCAUCUUAGAAGGAGUGUGCAUGAAUCUUGCAAGUAGACUAGCUGAAAACAUGAUAUCAGGUCUGGUUGCAGUUAGAUAUAGCAAGCUUCCUACAAUUUUUCUGUACAAGCUUUCAUCAGCUGCUUCACUUCCAUCUUCUCUUUGCAAUUUAUCAGUGGCAACUAAUGGAGUGCUCACUGAUUUGCAAUCCUUGAGUCCAAACUUAUCUAGGAGAGUGAGUGCAUACUUCUUUUGAUGGAUGAAAAUGCUCCCUUCAGUUUGUGUUACUCCCAUACCAAGAAAAUGAUGGAGUAAACCCAAGUCAGACAUUUCAUACUUGCACAUCAUCUCAGCCUUGAAUUCUUUCACCAUUUCAUCACUGCUUCCAGUAUAUACUAUGUCAUCUACAUAGAUUGAUAUAAUUAAUGUUCCCACACCUUCCUUGGUUCUCACAUAGAGAGUUGCUUCACUUGGACUUCUGUGAAAACCACACUGAUAUAAGUAAGUGUCGAUUUCACUGUACCAGGCCCUUGGAGCCUGCUUUAGUCCAUAGAGAGCUUUUCUUAGUCUGUACACCUUAUCCUCAGCUCCUUUAAUCACAAAGCCUUCAGGUUGAUCCACAUAGACUUCCUCUUCAAUAACACCAUUUAAGAAAGCUGAUUUGACAUCCAAUUGCCAUAAUUUCCAGCCUUUCUGUGCAGCUAGUGCAAUGAGAGUUCUAAUAGUGUCUAACCUUGCUACUGGAGCAAAGGUUUCAUUGAAAUCAAUCCCUGGUUUUUGUGUGUAACCCUUGGCUACAAGUCUUGCCUUGUGUUUUUGAAUGGAGCCAUCAAGAUUUAGUUUUGUUUUGUAUAUCCACUUCACUCCCACAAUUGGUUUGCUGCCUGGUCUAUCAACCAAUUUCCAAGUGGAAUUCUUCUCUAUCAUUGAUAUCUCUUCAAUCAUAGCUUUGUUCCAAGCUUCAUCUUUGGCUGCUUCAUGGUAACUCUCUGGUUCAAUAAUGCUCAGAUUACAUUGAGCAUAGACCUCACUUAAGUUCUUCCAUUUUUGUGGAGUAUGAUCAAAAGUUUCAGAGAUUGAAACUGAUGAAUCAUGUGUAGCAGAUUCCAGAGUGGUUUGCAGAUCAUUCACCUCUUGUGGUCUCUGAGGAGAUUGACCCGACUGAAGUGAUUCAUUUGAAUAUGAAUCAAUAUCUGAUAUUCUUGAACUUUCUUCUUCAUGCCAUGGAAUAGUCACUUGUACUUCUUCAUUCAAUUCCCAAUUCCACAUUGCUUUCUCAUCAAAGAUAAUGCUCCUUGAGAGUUCAAUCUUUUUAGUUUCUAGAUUAAAAACUCUAUACCCUUUCUCACAAAUCCCAUAUCUGAGAAAUACUCCCUUCAUUCCAGUUUCUUCUAGCUUGUGUCUUUUCUGAGUAGGAAUAUGAAUAUAGCACAGUGAACCAAAUAUUCUCAAGUGCUUGACACCUGGUUUUCUCCCACUGAACUUCUCGAAUGGAGUUGUAUUAUCCAGAGCACUUGUUGGACUUCUAUUUUGCAGGUAUACUGCUGUAUUGAUAGCUUCUGCCCAAAAUUUCAAAGGGAUUUUCUUCUCAUGCAUCAUUGUUCUUGCCAUUUCCAUCAGAGUACGAUUCUUUCUCUCUGCAACUCCAUUCUGUUGCGGAGAGUAGGCUAUAGUUAGUUGCCUUUCUAAUCCCAUCUCUUCACAAAACUUUGAAAAUUCCAAAGAUGUAUAUUCUCCACCUCUAUCACUUCUUAGCUUCUUAAUUUGAUAACCACUUUGCAACUCAACCAUGCUUUUGAACCUUUUGAAUAUGUUGAAUGCUUGAGACUUAUGCUGCAAGAAAAACACCCAACACAUUCUAGUGUGAUCAUCAAUGAAGGUGAGAAAGUAUCUAUUCCCUCCAAGAGUGAUAGACUGCAUUGGACCACAGAUAUCAGAGUGAAUCAGUUCUAGUGGUUGAGAGGCUCUCCAAGCUAUUUCCUUAUCAAAUGAACUUCUGUGACUCUUGCCUAUAGCACAACCCGAGCAAGUCUUCUUAGAUUCUUGUAACUUAGGUAGACCCUGAACCAUGUCUUUCUCUUGUAAGAGUCUCAAACUACCGUAGUUUAGAUGCCCGAAUCUUCUGUGCCACAAGCAAGAUGGUUCUCCAAAUGUUGCUCUAUUUGCCACAGGAGGAUUGACAUAUUUGAGAUCUAAGGGAAAACAUCUGUUCCCUUUCAUUUGAACCCUUGCAAUCAGCUCUUGCAGUUGCUUAUCUUCAUAAAUGUCAACCUCAUUAUCACCAAACACCAACCAAUGCCCAUGCUCUAUCAUCUGUCCUACACUCAACAGAUUCUCAUCCAGACCAGGUACAAUCAUGACUUCCCUAAUGAAUCUAGUAACCCCUUGCACAUCUAUAGCCAAAGUACCUUUGCCUAUUGAUUGCACUAAAUCACCAGUGCCCAUCUUAACUUUACAGUUCACAUUUCUAUCUAUAUCAAUAAGUAAGGACUCAUGAGCAGUCAUAUGAUUACUACAAGCACUGUCCACAUACCACACAUUCAUAUUUUUUUCAAUAGAAGCUGAAUGACAAGCAUAGAACAUAGUAGCAGGUUCUGUUACCUUGCUAGCCAAGUUUGCAAGUUUCUCAGUCUUAUUUGAUUGUUCACAGUCUUUAAUGAGAUGCCCAAAACGGUUGCACCCAUAGCACUUUGGCUUUCCUUUAAACUAGCAUUCUCCAUAGUGAAGCUUAUCACAGUGCUUGCAUUUCCCUUUUGCUUGAUCUGAUUUUUCCCCUGGUUCAUGCUUUCCUCCUUGGUUGCCACUAUUUUGAGGUUUUGAAUCCCAUUUCUUACCCUUCGAUUUCCAGCUCUUUUUUGAUUUAUUAUUACCAAAACCAGAGUUGGAUUGAGAUCCCUUUUGAUUUAUGCUCAUGCUGCUGAAGGCCUUCUCAGUGGUGUUCUCAGCAUGCCUAUCAAGGCGCUGAGCAAAACCCCUCAAUGCAGCAAUCACCUCUUGCACCUCAAUCAUUUCAAUAUCCUUAGUUUGUUCAAUUACAUAACAGACAGGAUCAAACUCCUUAGUCAGACUUAUAAGCAGUUUUUGAACUAACCUUCCUUUGGAUAGGUCUUCCCCAUAUCCCUUCAUCUGAUUCACAAGCUCAAGUAGGCGAGUGAGGUAUCCAGACAAGGUCUCAUCAUCCCUCAUCCUUGUAUACUCAAAAUCACGACGCAAACCCUGCAAUUUGAUAGAUCUGACCUGCUUAUCACCAUGAAAUUCCUGAUGUAAAAUAUCCCAUGCACCCUUUGAGGUUUCUUCAUUCGAAAUCCUUGGAAAAAUGUCUUCUGAGACAGCCCCUUGGAUAAUCCCAAGUGCCUUAGCAUCCUUCAUUAACAGAGCUUCCUUCUCAGAAUCCGAUGACCCAGCAUCAUCCACAUUCUUCCCCUUUGAAUCUGGAAUUUUAAGCCCAUUUUCAACUAAAUCCCAGAUUCCAUGAGAUUUGAAAAUCGUUCUCAUUCGAAUCUUCCAAAAUUCAUAGUUGUCCCCAUUGAAUAUUGGAGCUCUGAGAUCACUCCCUCCUGACCCAGCCAUCUGAGACAGAAUCAAUGAACUGAGUCGGAAAUUUCUCGUCGGAUUUCCAAGCUCAGCCCACACACAGCUUCAACGCCCACUACACAGAUCCAACCUUCGCUGCUGAUACCAUGUUGAGAUUUGGAUUGUCAAGGGAGCUACAGAGCCAAAGACUACGGGAGAGAAAGAGUGACUGAGCAAGAAGGAAUCAAAAAUGGUUAUGACCACUACUCCUCUGCUAAUCCGUUGCAGCAUAGCAGACUAUAUUCAUAUCCCAAAAUGUAUCCUUACAUCAGCAAAUACAAUCUAACCGUUGUGAAGGCUAAACCAAUGUGAAUAUGACACAUGGCUUUACAAAGCUUUACAGCCGCUGAAAUAAGAAAAACAAUCCUAAGCCUUACACUUGGCAUAUGAGCUCAAGGUGCUCAGCUCACAGAUGACUUAAAUGGACUAAAUAUAAACUGACUAAGUACUUACUAACUAAUCAGAAAUUAGCUAGGCAGUUUACAUUUUAACAAGAGCAUUAUUUCGUAUUUUUGUUGUUGGCUUUUAUGUUUACAGCCUCAUUUGCCAUUUUAAACCCACACAUUUUGUGUGUGCAUACUUAUAAGGAGCAGACUAUAUAUGCAGAUUGGGUUUCAAUUUGAUUUCCCUAGAGAUGCUGAAAGCAAACAGCCUUCAAAGGUUGUUUCUUUCCCCCUUUUUUAGUGUGAUAGAAGUUCCGUGGAGUUCAUAAUUGCAUAAAAGGAGUCAAAGUAGUGGCUGCGGCGGGUGGAGGCACUUCUUCGAAGGGCCCCGUCCGCCGGCCUGCCGGUCCGAUCUGGAGAAUUCAUGUUCCGGCAGGUGGGCUAGACAGAAUGGUUUCCACAAUAUAUGCAAAAUUAUUUCAAAUACCAAGAGGAAGCAAAAGUGGUUUCCCAUCCAUAAGAAAAAAUUUCAUUGGUUACUGUCAUUUUACAACAAAAAAAUCCAAAAUGGGCUGUUUCUUUUCAACCUCUAGAGAAUUAACUAUCUUCUAUCUAAUUGACCCCCCACAAAUUGAGGAUACAGUGCAAACACCAGCAGAUGUUGUGAGGGGAAUAUCUCUGUAGCAGGCCACUAGGUCAGUGUUAGUAUGCAGAUCCACUUGCAAGCUCUCCCACACUUUCUUCUUGGGGUUCAACACCUCAUCAGGCUCACCUGCGAACCCCGAAAAUGUAACUCUCUCGCCAACCUGAGCUGCUUUAGGCGGGUUGACCAAUUCAACCGUGGCGUGGUCACUGUUCGAAGCAACAAGAACCAUCGCUUGUGAUUUAAUGUUAGAAUUUGGCAUAGAUAUAUUGUUUCUGGUUUUUACAGUUUUCUAAGUAAAAACCUUUUCUCUAGCAACGUAUGCUAUAUUGAAUAGAAUCCAAAAAGAGAGAGAGUAAAUGAGAAUGUUAUCAGCCUGCUGCUAUAUUGCAGCAGAGCCAGCAACAGACACACAAGGCAUGACACAAGCUGCCAAAAAACAUAUCCUAAAAACUAGGACACAAUGACUCAUCUCCAGCCAAUCACAGGUCAUUGGAGGCUCAAAUUCUUACCCUAGAUAAGAAUUUGUUACAACAGAAAAUCUAGGACAGCUAAGGAAGGACAGCUGUAGACUUUCCUAAAAUAGUAAGAAAACUAGCCGUUAACAUAAUCUGUAACGGCUAUUACUAAAAAAGUAAAGUUCCUCAGCUCCUUCGAUUCUUCAUCCUAUUCACUGUCAAUCUGCAGGAUUAACUUCUGCAGCUUGAUUCCAUACUAGUAAGCAGCUUAACUCUCAACAGCCUCUCCUAAGCUACUUACUGGUUUAACUCCAAGCUUCAACCUCAAAAAAUUGAAUCGAUCUUUGGGCAAAGCUUUUGUAAAAAUAUCUGCCAACUGUUCUUCACUUCUGCAAAAAUUCAUCUUGAUCACUCCUUCCUGCAAAGCUUCUCUUAUGAAAUGAUACCUUCGAUUUAUAUGCCUUGUUUUCUGAUGGAAAACACGAUUUUUGAUCAUUGAGAUUGCUGACAUGUUGUCACAAAACAGUGGUGUUGCAUCAGAUUGCAUUUCACCAAAAUCAUCCAACACAAACCUCAACCAAAUGGCUUGAGCUGUUGCCUCAGCUGCUGAGACAUAUUCAGCUUCUGCAGUUGACAGUGCAACUGUGUUUUGCUUGACAGAAGCCCAAGAAAAAACUCCACUGCCAAAACUGAAUGCAUAUCCAGAUGUGCUUCUACUGUCAUCUUCACUGCCAGCCCAAUCAGAAUCACAAAAACCAAUCAGGACAGCAUUCUUGUCCCUUGUAAACUCAAUGCCAUAGCUGAUAGUGCCUUGAAUGUAUCUAAGAACCCUUUUUGUAAUUCCCAUAUGCUUCUUUGUGGGACUAUGCAUGAAUCUUGAUAACAAACUGGCUGCAAACAUUAUGUCAGGUCUAGUUGCAGUUAGAUACAGCAGACUGCCAACUAUUUUUCUAAACAAACCUUCAUCAGCCAGGUCACUUCCAUCAACUUUCUUUAGUUUCUCACCAGUGGGUAGAGGAAUUGUUACUGGCUUACAAUCCUCAAGACCAAACUUCACAAGCAAGGACUUUGCAUACUUGCUUUGAUGAAUAAACACCCCUUUUUCAGUUUGUAGAACUCCCAUCCCCAAGAAAUGAUGUAGGAGUCCUAAGUCAGUCAUUUCAUACUUCUGCAUCAUGUCCCUUUUAAACUCACUGAGCAGUGCAUUACUGCUUCCAGUAUAGACAAUAUCAUCAACAUAUAUAGAGACAAUAAUCAGUUUACCUUCUUCAUCUGUUCUGGUAUAUAAAGUGGCCUCACUAGUGCUUCUUUUAAAGUUGCAGCUUGUAAGAUAGGUGUCUAUUUCACUGUACCAGGCUCUGGGAGCCUGCUUCAAACCAUAGAGAGCCUUCUUCAGUUUAUAGACUUUUUGACUUGCCUUUUUCACUUCAAACCCUUCUGGUUGCUCAAUAUAAACCUCCUCCUCAAGUACUCCAUUUAAGAAGGCUGACUUAACAUCUAAUUGGAACAACUUCCAACCCUUUUGAGCUGCAAGUGCAAUCAGUGUUCUAAUUGUAUCUAACCUUGCCACUGGAGCAAAGGUCUCAUUAUAGUCAAUUCCAGGUUUCUGAGCAUACCUUUUAGCUACAAGCCUAGCCUUGUGUUUUUGUACUGUUCCAUCCAGAUUUAGCUUGGUUUUGAACACCCAUUUGACUCCUAUGACUGGUUUAUCCGAGGGUCUUUCCACCAGCUCCCAAGUUUCAUUCUUUUCAAUGGUUUCAAUCUCAGCCUCCAUUGCUUCCUUCCAUGCUUUGUCUUCAAUAGCUUCAUAAAACGUUUCAGGUUCAAUAAUAGUCAUGUGACAUCUUGCAUAGAUGUCCUCCAAACUUCUUAACUUUACUGGUGUAUUAGUUGGAGUUGGGCCUUGACUGGUGUCACUGCCAUUGUUUUCAGAAACAUGUUCAUCAUCUGAGCUUAAAUGAUUCAGGUUUGGUGAAUCAAUGCUGUGAAUUUCAUGUGAGAUUUCUGCUUCAUUUGUCUCUGAAUUUCCAUUUUCAAAGAUGAGAGGCAUUGGGACAGAUUCAUCUUGCUUGCUUUCCCAAUUCCAGAAUUUAUUCUCAUCAAAAACAACACUUCUUGAGAGUAUAAUCUUCUCAGUUUGAAGAUUAAAAAUCCUGUAACCCUUCUCACAGCUGCCAUAACCCAUAAAGACACCUUUGCUUGCUUUGUCAUCAAACUUCUGUCUAAGGUUUGAUGGAAUGUGACUGAAGCAGAUGCUGCCAAACACUCUCAGAUGUUUUACACCUGGUCUUCUUCCUGUGAAAGCUUCAAAUGGUGUUUUAUCUGAAAUAGUAGUGGUAUAGCAUCUGUUUUGCAGAUACACUGCAGUACCAACUGCUUCAGCCCAGAAUUUUAAAGGAACUUUCUUCUCAGUCAUCAUUGAUCUUGCCAUUUCACAGAUGGUUCUGUUUCUUCUCUCAGCAACCCCAUUUUGCUGAGGUGAGUAGGCAAUAGUUAGUUGCCUCUCCAUGCCAAGGUCACUGCAAAACUCCAGGAAUUCAUGUGAAGUGUAUUCUCCACCUCUGUCACUUCUUAACUUCUUUAAGCUGAAUCCACUCUGUAGCUCAACAAAAGCUUUGAACUUUUUGAACACACUUAUCACACUUGACUUAUUUCUGAGAAAAUAUACCCAACACAUUCUUGAGAAGUCAUCAAUGAAUGUGAUGAAGUAUUUGUUUCCUCCAAUGGACUCAUUUUGCAUUGGGCCACAUACAUCUGUGUGUAUCAAUUCAAGGGGAGUGGUAGCUCUCCAAGGCUUCUCAUUUUCAAAUGGUUCCCUGUGGCUUUUACCAUACACACACCCUUCACAUACUCCUUCCUUUUCUGAGAAAUUAGGCAGGCCUAACACCAUUUGAGUUUGCUGCAUUUUUUUCAUGCUUGCAAAGUUCAAAUGACCCAACCUUCUGUGCCAAAUCCAUGGAUCUUCUUGUACUGCUGCCCUCAUUCCCAUUGAGCAGAUAGACUCCAUAGAUAGUGGGAAACAUCUAUUUCCUGCCAUUGCAACUUUGGCAACAACAUUAUCAAGGCUGCUGUCAUCACAUAUCAAUGCAUAGUUGUCUCCAAAUAGGAUGUAGUAACCAUGCUCCAUCAUUUGUCCUAUACUCAACAAAUUCUCAUCCAGGCCAGGAACAAGCAGCACUUCAUGUAUGUAUCUUCUCCCUUUUCUUGUUUCAACUACAAGUGUUCCCUUUCCUGUGGCUUGAACAAGAUCACCAGUGCCCAUUUUCACUUUGCAGGUCACUGAUCUAUCAAGAUUGAUCAAUAAAGCCUCUUGAGAGGUCAUGUGGUUGCUGCAGGCACUAUCAACAAACCACACAGAUUUGCUUGAUGCAAUUGAACUUGCAUGACAAGCAUAGAACAUUGUUCCUGUGAUUGCCUCUUCCUCCUUUGCACAGUUUGCAACUUGCUUACCACUUUCACAGUCCUUGGUUAGAUGACCAAAUCGACUGCACUUUCCACACUUAGGUUUUCCUUUAUAUCUGCACACACCAAAAUGAUAUUUUUGGCACACUUGGCACUGUGGUUUCACCCCACCUUGACUGCUACUGCCAGGUUUGUUUUGAGAAUCAAAAACGUUGUUCCAAUUCCCUCCAGAGCCAUUAUUGCUAUUAAAGUUUCCACCUUGAGACCAGUUUGAGCCCUUUUUGUUCUGUCCAUGCCAUUUUUGAUUUGACUUUCCCUGAGAACUCUUGUUAGCUCCAGAAGCUUGAUUAUUUCCAAUUCUGAGACUGCUGAAAGCCUUCUCAGUUCCUGCCAUUUUAUCUCUUUCAUCAUGCAAAUCUUCUCUCUUAUCAUAGACUUUGACAGAAGCAAGAAUUUCUUCAACUCUAAUAGUGUCAAGGUCUCUGGUUUCUUCAAUAAUAGACACUAUGGACUUGUACUUCCUACUUAGACUCAUCAACAGUUUUUGAACAAUCCUUUUCUCUGUUACAUCUUCUCCUAGAGAUUUCAAGUUGUUUACUAUUUCAAAAAACCGAGCCAAGUAGUCAUCCAGAGAUUCAACAUCAUUCAUUCUUAAAUACUCAAAAUCAGCUCUAAUAGCUUGUAAUUUCACAGCUCUUACCUUUUUAUCUCCCCUGAACUCUCUUCUCAGGAUUUCCCAAGCACCUUUUGCAGUCUUCUCAUUUCUGAUGCGAGGAAAAAGUUCAUCUGUAAGUGCUCCUUGAAUAAGACUCAAAGCCUUGGCAUUUUUGAUCUUAUCUUCUCUGGAGAUAGUAGGUGCUUCCUCUGGUAUUUGCUCAGUCUCACCUUCUUCACUUCCAGAAACUACUUCCUCUUCAAUAACCGGCUGUGCUUGUAUUCCAAACUCCACUGCAUCCCAUAAAUCAUAGGCUAUGAGAAUGGUCUCCAUUUUUACUGACCAAAAAUCAUAGUUUGCCCCAUUGAACUGUGGAGUUCGUAGAUCUCCCCCUGCAGAUCCUGAUCCCACCAUUUUUAUGUGAGUUUCAGUGAACCAACCAGUAAAGGAUUACUCACAGCUCACGCCCCUUCUCUGAAAAUCAGACUAGAGCUCUGAUACCAUGUUAGAAUUUGGCAUAGAUAUAUUGUUUCUGGUUUUUACAGUUUUCUAAGUAAAAACCUUUUCUCUAGCAACGUAUGCUAUAUUGAAUAGAAUCCAAAAAGAGAGAGAGUAAAUGAGAAUGUUAUCAGCCUGCUGCUAUAUUGCAGCAGAGCCAGCAACAGACACACAAGGCAUGACACAAGCUGCCAAAAAACAUAUCCUAAAAACUAGGACACAAUGACUCAUCUCCAGCCAAUCACAGGUCAUUGGAGGCUCAAAUUCUUACCCUAGAUAAGAAUUUGUUACAACAGAAAAUCUAGGACAGCUAAGGAAGGACAGCUGUAGACUUUCCUAAAAUAGUAAGAAAACUAGCCGUUAACAUAAUCUGUAACGGCUAUUACUAAAAAAGUAAAGUUCCUCAGCUCCUUCGAUUCUUCAUCCUAUUCACUGUCAAUCUGCAGGAUUAACUUCUGCAGCUUGAUUCCAUACUAGUAAGCAGCUUAACUCUCAACAUUUAAUACCCCUCAUGGUUGCUGGCUUCAGAUUGCAAAGAACACAGACCUUCCGGUUCUGCCACAGAAAAGUUAAUAUAAAUAAACUAAUGGACAAGUAGGUGUUAAUUCGAAUUUUAUUGUUGAAAAUUCUGUAGAUGCAAACACAAACCUGCAUAUCUUCAAUGGGUAUAUACUUGACAAGUCCACUCACAACUGUUCUAGCCUGUCCUUCGCCAACAUCAAUCUCUUGUAUGUAAAGUGAAUCAGCAUCAGGAUGCUUCUGAGCUUUCGUAAUGAGGCCAACACGAAUAUCAAGUCUAGAAAUGGAAAUCUCUGCUUCAGCUGCAGAUUUUGUGGCCUGUUGCUUUUUCUUUCCACUGUUGUCUGUUACAAAAAUGGAUUAUUGGGGUGGAUAUAUAUUUAUGUUAGCAAUAACUAAUAAAUGGUAUAUGAUUGUUUUCAAAUAUAAGUGCCCACAAAACAUGAGUUUAGCUUGUGGACCAGACCAACAUGCGGAAAUUCUAACCUGAAACUUUCAUUUUCUUGAGUUGUGCAGCCACCUUCACUGCUUCAGCUUCUUCCCGCUCCUUCCUGUCCGCUUGACUUCCAGCAAACUUCUUCCUUAAGGACUCCACUUCUUCAUCUUUCUGUGUCCAAGUACAAACUUUCACUAAAUUAGAAUCUACAAAUAGGCAAGUGAUGCA
rnacentral:lncRNA from 1 species